rnacentral:rRNA from 1 species
CAAUAGCGUAUAUUAAAGUUGUUGCGGUAAAAAAGCUCGUAGUUGGAUUUCUGUUGAGAGCGACCGGUCCAUACCAUGUAUGCGUAUCUGGCUUGCUCUCGGCAUCCUCUCGAUAGACGUUACUGCGCUUGAUUGCGUGGUGCGGAUCUCGGGACUUUUACUUUGAGGAAAUUAGAGUGUUCACGGCAGGCUUUCGCCAGAAUACAUUAGCAUGGAAUAAUACUAUAGGAUCUUGGUUCUAUUUUGUUGGUUUCUAGAAUCGAGAUAAUGAUUAAUAGGGACAAUUGGGGGCAUUCGUAUCAACACGUCAGAGGUGGAAUUCUUGGAUUGUGUUGCGACGAACUACUGCGAAAGCAUUUGCCAAGGAUGUUUUCAUUGA